AUUGAACGCUGGCGGCAUGCUUUACACAUGCAAGUCGAACGGCAGCGCGGGCUUCGGCCUGGCGGCGAGUGGCGAACGGGUGAGUAAUGCAUCGGAACGUGCCCAGUAGUGGGGGAUAGCCCGGCGAAAGCCGGAUUAAUACCGCAUACGACCUGAGGGUGAAAGCGGGGGACCGAAAGGCCUCGCGCUAUUGGAGCGGCCGAUGUCGGAUUAGCUAGUUGGUGGGGUAAAGGCUUACCAAGGCGACGAUCCGUAGCUGGUCUGAGAGGACGACCCGCCACACUGGGACUGAGACACGGCCCAGACUCCUACGGGAGGCAGCAGUGGGGAAUGUUGGACAAUGGGGGCAACCCUGAUCCAGCCAUGCCGCGUGCGGGAAGAAGGCCUUCGGGUUGUAAACCGCUUUUGUUCGGGAAGAAAUCCUCUGGGCUAAUACCCCGGGGGGAUGACGGUACCGGAAGAAUAAGCACCGGCUAACUACGUG
rnacentral:rRNA from 1 species